rnacentral:rRNA from 1 species
UUAAGAAAGCAAGAGCGCACGGUGGAUGCCUAGGCACUAAUAGGCGAAGAAGGACGCGACUAACAGCGAAAUGCUACGGGGAGCAGUAAGUAGGCAAAGAUCCGUAGGUAUCCGAAUGGGGAAACCCACUAGUUAGAAGAGCUAGUAUUGAAUAAUGAAUAGAUAGUUAUUCAAGGCGAACCCGGGGAACUGAAACAUCUAAGUACCCGGAGGAAAAGAGAACAAAAGUAAUUCCCUAAGUAGAGGCGAUUGAAAGGGGAGGAGCCCAGCACCAUGAAGAGUUAGAAAAUCUUUUUAUAGUAGAAUUGUAUUGGAAAAGCAAGACAAAGAAGGUGAAAUCCCUGUAUACGAAAUAAAGAGAUCUCGGUGUCGGAGUAGGGCGGAGCACGAGGAAUUCUGUCUGAAUAAGUGAGGACCAUCUCAUAAGGCUAAAUACUCAUUAGUGACCGAUAGUGAACCAGUACUGUGAAGGAAAGGUGAAAAGAACCCCUGGCGGGGAGUGAAAAGAACCUGAAACCGUGUGCUUACAAACAGUUAGAGCCCGUCAAAGGGUGAUAGCGUGCCUUUUGUAGAAUGAGCCGGCGAGUUACGUUAAUGUGCGAGGUUAAGUUUUAAGGGACGGAGCCGAAGCGAAAGCGAGUCUGAAGAGGGCGAAAUAGUAGAUUGACGUAUACCCGAAACCGGGUGAUCUAGCCAUGAGCAGGUUGAAGCUUGGGUAAAACCAGGUGGAGGACCGAACCAGGGUCUGUUGAAAAAGACUUGGAUGACUUGUGGCUAGGGGUGAAAUUCCAAUCGAACCCGGAGAUAGCUGGUUCUCCCCGAAAUAGCUUUAGGGCUAGCGUCGAGGUAAGUUGCGUGAAGGUAGAGCACUGAAUAUGUGAUGGCCCCAUCUCGGGGUACUGAGCAUAAUCAAACUGCGAAUGUCACGCCAACAUGCUCGGCAGUCAGACAGCGGGUGAUAAGGUCCGUUGUCAAGAGGGAAACAGCCCAGACCAUCAGCUAAGGUCCCAAAAUGUAUGCUAAGUGGAAAAGGAUGUGGAGAUGUACAGACAACUAGGAGGUUGGCUCAGAAGCAGCCAUCCUUUAAAGAGUGCGUAACAGCUCACUAGUCGAAUGACUCUGCGCCGAUAAUUUACCGGGGCUAAGCAUACUACCGAAGCUAUGGAUCCCAAGGGAUGGUAGGGGAGCGUUCCAUGAACGGAGAAGUACGACCGAAAGGACGUGUGGAGAUCAUGGAAGAGAGAAUGCCGGUGUGAGUAGCGGAACGUGGGUGAGAAUCCCACGCACCGAAAACCCAAGGUUUCCAGAGGAAGGUUCGUCCGCUCUGGGUAAGUCGGGACCUAAGGCGAGGCCGAAAGGCGUAGUCGAUGGACAACAGGUAGAGAUUCCUGUACCCGUAUAUAUGUGAAGGAAUGACGGAGAGAGGAAGCUGCAGCCAGCGGCUGGAAGAGCUGGUGCAAGCGAGAUAUCGGGAUGGCAGGCAAAUCCACCAUCCGAAACGAGAAGGCGUGAAGCGUACGGAAAGCUACGGCGAGUACGGAAGGCAGUGGAGGAACUUCCAAGAAAAGUUUCUAACGUAAAGUAUAUAUGGCCCGUACCGAAAAUGGACACACAUGGGUGAGGAGAGAAUCCUAAGGUGAGCGAGAGAACUAUAGCUAAGGAACUCUGCAAAAUGACUCCGUAACUUAGGGAGAAGGAGUGCUCAUAGAGAUAUGAGCCGCAGUGAAACGGCCCAAGCGACUGUUUACCAAAAACACAGCUCUCUGCUAAGCCGCAAGGCGAAGUAUAGGGGGUGACGCCUGCCCGGUGCUGGAAGGUUAAGGGGAGGGGUUAACGCAAGUGAAGCCCUGAACUGAAGCCCCAGUAAACGGCGGCCGUAACUAUAACGGUCCUAAGGUAGCGAAAUUCCUUGUCAGGU